AUGGCAUGCCUGGAGCAUUCAAGCACUGCACACAAUCUCACACAACAGAAAAAAGAGUUGCAGGAGACAUAUGAGAAGCUUGUUGAAGAUGUGAACAACCUAUUGGAUUAUAAGGAUAGCCAGCCUAAGGUAAACCAGAAGAAUGAUGCUGAGAACAUUUCAGUGAGUGUGGAAAGCAGCAUGACAAAGGAUGCUGAGAUCAAGAAAUUGAAGGCUGUUGUUGACCAGUUAAAGCAAAUUCAUGUAGCUCAAGCCAGUGUCAUUAGGAAUUUGAAGUUCAACCAUCUUAAAGAGAAGGAAAAGUUGAGCUCUGAUAAGAGGACUUUGGAGAUUUGCUAUGCUGACCUGAAGAAAGAGAAGGAUGACCUGAAGAAAGAGAAGGAUAAGCUGGAUUGUUGCAUUGCUGAGCUGAUGAAAGUGAAGGAGAAGUUGACCAUGGAGAAGAGAACUCUUGCUUCCUGCAUUGUUGAGCUGAAGACAACAUGUGAUAGCAACAAGAGGAAGCUUCACCAGAUCAAGGCUAUUUGUGAUGAGGACUAA
rnacentral:rRNA from 1 species